AGCUUUAUAGUCAAAUUUAUGAUAUUAGAUUGCAAAUCUAAAGGUGUUGAAACUAAAGCUU
rnacentral:tRNA from 1 species